CAGCCGCCGCGGUAAUACGUAGGUGGCAAGCGUUGUCCGGAAUUAUUGGGCGUAAAGGGCUCGCAGGCGGUUUCUUAAGUCUGAUGUGAAAGCCCCCGGCUCAACCGGGGAGGGUCAUUGGAAACUGGGAAACUUGAGUGCAGAAGAGGAGAGUGGAAUUCCACGUGUAGCGGUGAAAUGCGUAGAGAUGUGGAGGAACACCAGUGGCGAAGGCGACUCUCUGGUCUGUAACUGACGCUGAGGAGCGAAAGCGUGGGGAGCGAACAGGAUUAGAUACCCGGGUAGUCCCUGUCUCUUUACA
rnacentral:rRNA from 1 species